CGUAAAGAACUUGCCUCACAGAUAGGGACAACAUUUGGAAACGAAUGCUAAUACCUGAUAUUAUGAUUUUAGGGCAUCCUAGAAUUAUGAAAGCUAUAUGCACUGUGAGAGAGCUUUGCGUCCCAUUAGCUAGUUGGAGAGGUAACAGCUCACCAAGGCGAUGAUGGGUAGCCGGCCUGAGAGGGUGAUCGGCCACAAGGGGACUGAGACACGGCCCUU
rnacentral:rRNA from 1 species